rnacentral:rRNA from 1 species
UUGGAGGGCAAGUCUGGUGCCAGCAGCCGCGGUAAUUCCGGCUCCAAUAGCGUAUAUUAAAGUUGUUGCAGUUAAAAAGCUCGUAGUUGAACCUCGGGGUCUACCCAUUGGUCAGGCUUAAUUGUCUGCACUGGUGAGAUGGAUCUCUACCUUCUGAGGAACUUUCAUGCCAUUUAUUUGGUGUGAUGGGAAAUCAGGACUGUUACUUUGAAAAAAUUAGAGUGUUUAAAGCAGACUAUCGUCUGAAUACAUUAGCAUGGAAUAAUGAAAUAGGACGGACUGAUUCUAUUUCGUUGGUUUCUAGGAUCACCGUAAUGAUUAAUAGGGAUAGUUGGGGGCAUUAGUAUUCAAUUGUCAGAGGUGAAAUUCUUGGAUUUAUUGAAGACUAACUACUGCGAAAGCAUUUGCCAAGGAUGUUUUCAUUAAUCAAGAACGAAAGUUAGGGGAUCGAAGACGAUCAGAUACCGUCGUAGUCUUAACCAUAAACUAUGCCGACUAGGGAUCGGACGAAGUUAAUUUUAUAAUGACGCGUUCGGCGCCUUACGGGAAAC